rnacentral:tmRNA from 1 species
GGGGGUGUAAAGGCUUCGACGGGGAUUUUGAGUCUUGGUAAGCGAGCAGCGGUGCGGAACCGCUAUAAAAUCCGCAAACUAAAAAUAAACGACGACUAUCCAGUUGCGUUAGCAGCCUAAGUGCUGCUCGUCCUGCUUAAGAAUACCACGGCUUAAGCGAGGGCGUCGAUUAGUGGUGAACGCAAGCGGGCACACUCCUUUAACCUGUUUGUGUAUCAAAGGAUACUAAGUGCAAAAGCCCUUCAUCGGGCGGUUGCGUGAGGGAAUGUCAAAACGAUGAAUACGCUCGUAGAAAGCCUUGAUAACGGAUUUUCGGACAGGGGUUCAAUUCCCCUCACCUCCACCA